rnacentral:rRNA from 1 species
GUGCCAGCCGCCGCGGUAAUACGUAGGUGGCAAGCGUUGUCCGGAAUUAUUGGGCGUAAAGCGCGCGCAGGCGGUUUCUUAAGUCUGAUGUGAAAGCCCCCGGCUCAACCGGGGAGGGUCAUUGGAAACUGGGGAACUUGAGUGCAGAAGAGGAGAGUGGAAUUCCACGUGUAGCGGUGAAAUGCGUAGAGAUGUGGAGGAACACCAGUGGCGAAGGCGACUCUCUGGUCUGUAACUGACGCUGAGGCGCGAAAGCGUGGGGAGCGAACAGGAUUAGAUACCCUGGUAGUCCACGCCGUAAACGAUGAGUGCUAAGUGUUAGAGGGUUUCCGCCCUUUAGUGCUGCAGCAAACGCAUUAAGCACUCCGCCUGGGGAGUACGGUCGCAAGACUGAAACUCAAAUGAAUUGACGGGG